rnacentral:rRNA from 1 species
CAAUAGCGUAUAUUUAAGUUGUUGCAGUUAAAAAGCUCGUAGUUGGAUUUCGGGUGGGACGCAGCGGUCUCGCAUUGCGUUUGUACUGCUGCAGCCCUCCUUCUUGCCGGGGGCGGCCUCUCGGACUUCACUGUCUGGGGGUCAGAAUCGGCGAUGUUACUUUGAGUAAAUUAGAGUGUUCAAAGCAAGCCUUCGCUCUGAAUAUAAUAGCAUGGGAUAACACGACAGGACUCUGGCCUAUCGUGUUGGUCUGUAGGACCGGAGUAAUGAUUAAGAGGAACAGUCGGGGGCAUUCGUAUUCCAUUGUCAGAGGUGAAAUUCUUAGAUUUAUGGAAGACGAACAUCUGCGAAAGCAUUUGCCAAGGAUGUUUNCAUUGA